AGUGAACGCUGGCGGCGUGCCUAAUACAUGCAAGUCGAACGGAGUGGCGCACGGGUGAGUAAUAUAUAGCUAAUCUGCCCCUUGCUGGAGGACAACAGUUAGAAAUGACUGCUAAUACCCCAUAGAAAGGGAUGAGACUAUAUCGUAGCAGCUAGGCGGUGGGGUAACGGCCUACCGAGGCUAUGACGAGUAACUGGUCUGAGAGGAGGAUCAGUCACAUUGGAACUGAGACACGGUCGAAACUCCUACGGGAGUCAGCAGUAUGGAAUAUUGCGCAAUGGGGGAAACCCUGACGCCGCAUCGCCGCGUGGAGGAUGUCACUUUUCGUAGCGUAAACUCCAUUUGUUAGGGAGGCGUUACCUAACGAAUAAGCACCGGCUAACUCCGUGCCAGCAGCCGCGGUAAUAC
rnacentral:rRNA from 1 species